AUUGAACGCUGGCGGCAGGCCUAACACAUGCAAGUCGAGCGGGAGGCGGACGGGUGAGUAAUGUAUGGGAAACUGCCUGAUGGAGGGGGAUGACUACUGGAAACGGUGGCUAAUACCGCAUACCAUCAGAUGUGCCCGGAUGGGAUUAGCUAGUCGGUGGGGUAAUGGCUCACCAAGGCGACGCUCCCUAGCUGGUCUGAGAGGAUGACCGGCCACACUGGAACUGAGACACGGUCCAGACUCCUACGGGAGUCAGCAGUGGGGAAUAUUGCGCAAUGGGCGCAAGCCUGAUGCAGCCAUGCCGCGUGUGUGAAGAAGGUCUUCGGGUUGUAAAGCACUUUCAGCGAGGAGGCGUUACUCGCAGAAGAAGCACCGGCUAACUCCGUGCCAGCAGCCGCGGUAAUAC
rnacentral:rRNA from 1 species